rnacentral:rRNA from 1 species
AGAGUUUGAUCCUGGCUCAGAUUGAACGCUGGCGGCAGGCCUAACACAUGCAAGUCGAACGGUAGCAGGAAGUGCUUGCACUUCGCUGACGAGUGGCGGACGGGUGAGUAAUGCUUGGGAACUUGCCUUUAGGUGGGGGAUAACAGUUGGAAACGACUGCUAAUACCGCAUAAUGUCUACGGACCAAAGGGGGCUUCGGCUCUCGCCUUGAGAGAGGCCCAAGUGAGAUUAGCUAGUUGGUGGGGUAAAGGCCUACCAAGGCAACGAUCUCUAGCUGUUCUGAGAGGAAGAUCAGCCACACUGGGACUGAGACACGGCCCAGACUCCUACGGGAGGCAGCAGUGGGGAAUAUUGCACAAUGGGGGAAACCCUGAUGCAGCCAUGCCGCGUGUGUGAAGAAGGCCUUCGGGUUGUAAAGCACUUUCAGUUGUGAGGAAAGGUUGGUAGUUAAUACCUGCCAGCUGUGACGUUAACAACAGAAGAAGCACCGGCUAACUCCGUGCCAGCAGCCGCGGUAAUACGGAGGGUGCGAGCGUUAAUCGGAAUUACUGGGCGUAAAGCGCACGCAGGCGGCUUGUUAAGCUAGAGGUGAAAGCCCCGCGCUCAACGUGGGAACUGCCUUUAGAACUGGCAGGCUAGAGUCUUGGAGAGGGGAGUGGAAUUCCAGGUGUAGCGGUGAAAUGCGUAGAUAUCUGGAGGAACAUCAGUGGCGAAGGCGGCUCCCUGGCCAAAGACUGACGCUCAUGUGCGAAAGUGUGGGUAGCGAACAGGAUUAGAUACCCUGGUAGUCCACACCGUAAACGCUGUCUACUAGCUGUUUGUGUAUUUAAUACGUGAGUAGCGAAGCUAACGCGCUAAGUAGACCGCCUGGGGAGUACGGCCGCAAGGUUAAAACUCAAAUGAAUUGACGGGGGCCCGCACAAGCGGUGGAGCAUGUGGUUUAAUUCGAUGCAACGCGAAGAACCUUACCUACUCUUGACAUCCAGGAAAUUUUUCAGAGAUGAAUUAGUGCCUUCGGGAAUCCUGAGACAGGUGCUGCAUGGCUGUCGUCAGCUCGUG